rnacentral:lncRNA from 1 species
AAAGAUUGGGGAGUUUACGGAACCAUAAGGCUUGGAGGUAUGGUAGGUCUCCCACCUGAGGUGGGAUUUGGCCGGUGAGAGCUUCGUCGUCUUGAAUUAUGAGGGAAAUUAUGCGGUUGCUGGUUUCGUCACAUUCGACUAGGUCCCAACCACAACAAUCGUCGUCUGACACCCAUGAGUCUGUAAUGGUGGGGUUUUUCAAGGCUGUUUUGAUUUGGAGUAAAGCUUGCUUGUCGUUGUUGUUGCAUCUUUGUGAUGCAGAGAGGUUUGGAAGGCAGAGGAAAAUCAUGCAUAUGCACAAAAUAGGGCAGAAAGAUGAUUCAAUAUUCAUAUUGAAUUAUUGGAUUAUGUUUUCGAGUUGUGGGUAAAAUUGAAGGCAGUUCAGUGUCCUAUUUAUAGACGGGAGUCACGGGAUUGUUUUGUGGGGUUAGUUUAAAAGUUUAUUCUUGCUAAAUAGUCAAGUGGACAUAUAUCAAACUGUGGCUUCACCUUACGACGAUUUUGGAUAUUUACGACUGGCUAACAUGUUGUGCUAUGAAUUUUUUUGAUAAUAUCAUAUUUAGUUAAUAUCCUCUUAGCCAUUACAUAUAAAAUAAGUUAAAUAUCUUCUCUCACAAUUAUCUUCAAAUCAUUUUGUUUCUAUUUUUUAAUUGCUAUUUCAAUUUUUUAAAUAUGCUAUUUGAUAAAUUAUGGACACACUUUUUAAUUUAUUAAUAAAAUUUUCCUCAGAAAAAAGUAUUAAUAAAAUUAUAGAGAAAAUGUUAAAAGCUCGUCCUUUAAAAGAAAGUAUACACGACCCCUAAACAAAUGAGAAAAGCUUAAAAGCACGUUGACAAUCGGUUUUGGUACAAAUUUCUUUGAUUUUGUCUAAAACGGCUGUAUACAGAAAUUUUUCAGACUUGAUUUUAUAGCCUUAAGCCCUUAACUACAACAUCAUUAUUUAUUUUUUCUGACAUUCACUGACCCUCCAAGCUUUAUAGGCUCAUUAAUUUAUCUGUGAUAUAACUCUAUAAAUAUAUUUAGUGAUGUAAAAAUUCAAUUUAAACACUAAACUCUUUAUUCAUUUCUUAACAUUUUGUAUUAACUAUUUGACAUAUAUUUUAAGAUGCAUAUAAAAUAUAGGUUUAUAUUAUAUUUUAUAAAAAAAUAUUUUGUAUAAAAAUUUAAAUAUUAAAUUUUUGUUCAGACAAAAUAAUCUAAUAAUAAAUUAUCAAACCAUAUUUUAUAAAAAAAAUUAAAAAAUAUGUCAAAACCCCGUCAAUCAAUGUCACGACUGGGUGAGGGGGACUAGGACGUACGGGUCGUUGUCUACUUGUCUAUCUCGAAUAUUUCAGUCAAGUGGCCACUCUUUCGAGUUUGCGUAUACGUGGUCAACUUCAAUUUUUACGUUUCAAUAUAAUAAUGUUUGUUAUUAUUUUAUAAAUUAUUUUCUAAAAAUAAUCAAAUUUUAUUUUCCAUUUCUUGACAUAAUGACUAAUUAAAAUUUAGCGGAUGCCAUUUUCCCAAAUGAUGAAAAGAAAAUUUAGUUAUUAAUUUAUGAAUUUGAAACUUUUAUCAUUUUCAGAAAUUAUAAAAAAUACGACCACCACUCUAUAAUUUAUUUUAUAGAAAAAACUAUACAUCCUCCUAUAUUUUAAAGCAUCACCACCGAUCCCUUAAAAUGCUACUAAAAAUAAUAUAAAUAUAAACUCUAAAAUGCUUAAACAGCUUUGAUACUUGUCAUCGUCGGUAGUUCGGUGGCUUCUUCUUUAUGCCUAAAUUAUAUUCUAUUAACAAAUAAUAACAAUGUGUCGGUAGGGAAAAUUAAUGACAGAAAUAUAAAGAAGUGACUUAGAUUAUUAAUUAAAGACCGAAGGAGGAGAGACUUAGCUACUUGAAGAAGAUUUAUGAGAUUUGUGGAGUAGGGAGCAAUGUUAUGUUUGGUAGGUUAGAAUGAAAUAAAAAAAAUUUAAAAUAGAUGAAAAUAAUAGAAUAAAAGAAAAUUGAGAAAAUAACUAAGUGAGUACAAAUUGUUAUAAUAUUUUAUAAAAUCAAAUAUUUUGAAUAUUAAAUUGAAUUAAUUAUCUUAAAUGAAAAGUUGUAUUAUAUAACUAUCAAAUUAGUUUUUUUUGUAAUUUAUGAGACACACAAACAUUCUCUAACUGAAAAAACUUAUCUCAUAUCAUGUUAAAAUUCGUAGUUCAAUCAGUUAAUUACCGAGUCAUCAUAUUAGAUGAUUUAUUCGGUCAAAAAUAAAAAACUUUAUCUAAAAUCUUUUAACUUUUAUAUACGACUUCUAUUAAAUGACUGAUACAUACAGUAUAUAUUGGGCAUGUUUGGGAAGAAGAAGCGGAAACUGCUUCUGACUUAUGCUUUUCUUAACCCAUUUGUGUAAAGAAUUAUAAGCAUUUUUAAGAAGCUGAGAAUUCUAGUUUCUCUCCCACAGUUUCUGCUUCUUUUCUAAACUCUUUAUUAAUUUAUUUACUUCUCACUUCUACUUUACUUCUUUAAUAUAAGCAAAAAAUCAUUUUUUUUAAACUAACCCAAACAGCCCAUUAUUUUAAAGACCUUAAGAGAACGCUGAAACUUCGAUGUAGGGCUGUUCGCGGUGCGGGCGGUGCGGUUUUUUCCUAAAACCGGGAACCAACCCGCGCAUGCGGUUUGAGAAAAUUCGUAAACCGCAACCGGACCGCGUAAUAUAAAAACCGCGUAAACCACACCACAAAAUUGUGGUGCGGUUCAUGCGGUUUGCGUGUUUUAUACAUUCAAAAAAAUUAUACUUUUGAAUGACAAUAUAAAUAUAAUUUUAAAGUAUAUGUAUUUAAAAAUAAUUUUUAAUAUAUAUAUAUAUACGUGCGCACACACACAAAUAUAGAGUUACGAUACUCAUGAAAAGAAAUAUAAACUAAAAUAUGAGUAUGAUAAUGAUGAAGAUCAAAAGAUUUCAACAAUUACAAGUCAUUUUAUUAAAAAAAAAUAUAAUUAUAAUAUUUAAUUUGUCGUCUUAAAGCUAACAUUUUUUUGUAUUGUAAAAUUAUUAAAAUUAAGUUGAGUAACUUGAACAUAUAACACAUAUAGAAUAUAACAUCAUAAUAAAUAAUUUACCUAUAUAAUAUAAAUAUUUGUAAUUAUAUGUGAUAUAUUUUUAUAUAUUAGAAAAUAACGGUGCGGUGCGGUUUGAACCGCGCAUGUAUAAUAUCAAACCGCAACCCACGCCGCACCGCGCGGUUUGGUAAAAUUUCAACCCGCAAGGGGUGAUCAAAAAACCGCCCAACCCGCAUAAACCGCCCGCACCGCACCAAACCGCACCACAAAACGCGGUUUUUAAUUUUCGUGGUGCGGUUGCGGUUUGAUUUUUUCACAAAUCACGCGGUGUGGUGCGGGUUGCGGUUUGGCAUAUUGCUAGUGCGGUUUAAACCGCACCGCACCGCACCAUGGUAUUAUAAUAUAUAUAUUAAUAUAUUAGUGAUUGUCAAAUAAAAUUAUAUAUAUAUAUAUAUGUUUUUUAUAAUUAUGUCAAAUAAAAUUAUAUUAUGUUAAAUUAUAUUAUAUAUUUUAUAUCUUGUUAAACAAUAGCUAAUUAUUAUUUUAUCAAUCUCGCAUUACCAUUAUAUUACCAUUAUACCAAAUUUGUAUGAUAUGAUUAUAUUAUUAUAAUAUGUUUCUUAGUACUCAUAUUUAUUAUUAUAUUUACACUUUUAUGUGCAUUAUUUUUGUAGUUGUAGUUCUGAAAUGAUAAAUAUCAUAUAAAUUCAUUACAAGAAAAAAUUUUAGUUAUUUUAUAUUUAAAUUUUAUUACUAACUUCAACUAAAAAUAUUUAUUCUUAAACAUACACAAACCGCACCGCACCACACCGCAUUUUUGUGGUGCGGUUUACGUGGUUUUUAUCCUAGCGCGGUGCGGUUGCGGUUUGAGUUUUCAAGCAAACCGCAUACGCGGUUUGAUUUGCGGUUUUGAUGAAAAACCGCACCGCCCGCACCGCGAUCACCCCUACCCGCAACCGCACCAUGAAAAAGAAAAACCGCAUUUUGCGGUGUGAUGCAGAGCGGUGCGGGCGGUUUAUGCGGUGUGGGCGGUUUGAUGAACACCCCUACUUCGAUGUGCUAUGUUUCCAUUAAAAAAUUGGGUGAUGCAUGUAUAUUGUCAAAAGGAAUGUUAAAUAUAUAUCUCAGUUUUUUUCUCAAAAUUUUCCCAAAAUGUUGAGUUAUCAAUAUAUAGACUAUAAUUUCGUUCUAAAUAAUAUGGAACCCGUAUGUAUGAGUUAAGUUUCUUGGAGUCCACAUUUCAAUGGAGGUUUGGAGUCCUCAUUCUUUAAAAUUGGAUAAAAUAUAAUCUAGUGAUUUCAAAUUUAGUGUUUUUUGUUCUAUAAUAUUUAUAAACAUCCGACAAGCUAAAAAUUAUGUUCUACCACAUAAUAAACAUGCAUAGCAAUUAUUUUUUCAAAUCACAGGAUGCUUUGUUCUACAAUAUAUUUAAUAUGACCUGCGAUUUAUAAAAUUAAUUAUUGUGCAUAUUGAUUAUGUUAUCCAUUUUUUAAGAAUGAGUACUCUAACAGUCCAUUAAAAUGAAAUGAUGAGGACUCCAAAAAUCUUUACACUACGUGUGCAAAGAGCCCGAGGACUACUCAGCGACCCUAACAGCGCCAAGCACAAGCAUCAUUCGCCGCGCACAAGCGUCAUCCGCAGACACCAGAGUUGACAGCCCCGUCAGGGGAGGGAAGAUUUCAAGUUCUUAUAAGGUCUAUGCCGAGCACUCCGCAAGAAUGUCUUUGCGCGAAUUAUGAGGUUUAGGCCGAGCACCCCAUAAGAGUGUUUUUCGGCAAAAUACCAUCAAAUCUACGCCAAGCAAUCCACAUAAAUGUCUUUGGGAACAGUACCGUCAGGUCUCUUAAAAUCUUGCUAGCGGGAGGGGAAAGUUUCCACUCAUUCUACUUGGUAAACACUGCUCUAUUGUCAUAUUCAAUCACAGACCGGGAAAUUCAUGCGAAGACAAUCAUGAACUCAUGCACUCUGUUGAUUAUUACAUGAUAUGUCUUGUUUUCUUGAAUAUAGUAAUUUCUACUCCUUCCGUCUUCCUCAUUUAUUUACAUUGGGAGACGGGGCUCGGCACACAUUCCAAUGCCCUCAUAAAACGCAGUUUGAUAAAUUAUUUUAAACUUUUUUUCUUCUGAAUAAAUAUUUGAUGUUUAAAUUUUUAUAAAAAAUAAAAAAUUUUAAAAAUAAGUUAUAGAACUAUGUUAUAUAUGCGUCUUAAAAUUCGUGUCGAGCCGCGUGAAAAAUCGUAGAAAAAUGAGGCAGAGGGAGUGAUUUUUAAAUAUCACACACAUAUACACAAAAGUCGGAGAUCUUUUCUGGAAGAGUCUCUUUUAUUUUUAAAUAAAAGUAAGACUCUUCUCUUCAAUUUUUAAAUGAAAACAAUACAGCCUAUAUCCUACCCUCAUCAGACCUGCAUGGAGCCGGAUAGUGAUACGUUUUUUUGUUAAGUGAAUGCUCUAACAAACGACUAGGGGAUAAACCCACAAUAUGCCAAUACUAUCCAUCCACCAUUUUCACGUUUGGUGGCAGAGAAGUCACAAGCAUCCUAUUCACCGUCAAUUCAUUGGUUUUUAACCUCUUGUGAAAAGUCCCCGAAUUCAGGGUAAGGUUAGAUAUUCUGUAGAUCUUAUCUAUCCAGAAUGACUACUAGUCGGCAGAGGAUUCACUCGGGUAACAAUUGAAUUAUCAGGAAACGGUUAUUUUCUCUCUUCCUCACAUUUCACGCGCAUUUAAAUUUUAAUGAUUAUAUAAAGUAUAGUUUCAUAUAUUAUAAUUAUGGCUAAUACAUAAGGAUGACAUUUUUACCCGACCCGAUGGAUACCCGACCCGUUCUGACCCGAUUGGGUCUACCCGAACCCGAUUUUUUUGGAUUUGGAUCUGGGUCUGGAUCUUAGUUUCAGACNGAUUGAGACCCGAUUGGGUCUACCCGAACCCGAUUUUUUUGGAUUUGGAUCUGGGUCUGGAUCUUAGUUUCAGACCCGAAAGAGUUUGGAUCUGGAUCUGGAUCUCAGUUAUCCCGAACCGAAACCCGACCCGAAACCGAAACCCGAAAAAAACCCGAUACAAUAUAUUAUACACACACACACACACAUAUAUGCAUACAUACAUACAUACAUACAUACAUACAUACAUACAUACAUACAUACAUACAUACAUACAUACAUAUAUUAUAUGUUUAAUGUAGAGUAUAUAUAUUGAAAUAUUAUGAAUUAUUAGGUAUGAAUAUUAACAUUUUAUUUAAUUUUAUAUGCCCAAUACAUAAUUUAUAUUCAUUUCAUCAAUAUUUUUCUCAAUUAUUGUGCAUUAAAAAAUCUAAAUAUAAUAAGAAUAUAAAAUAUAAAUGAUAAGUUGAAUGAUUGUAUACAAUUAAGUUAACAUGUUUCACGUGUUUAUUGUACUAAACGAAACUUGUAAAACCCUUUAUUAUAUUUCUAAAUUUUAAAAAAAUCAAUCAUCACAUUUUUUUUUAGAUAUAUAAUUUUUAAUUUUUAUUUUAUUUUUUUAAGUAUCCGAAUUAGACCCGGAUCCGAACUGAAACCCGAAAAAACCCGACGGAUCGGAUCUGGAUCUUCAUUUUCCAUACCCGGACCCGGACCCGGACCAAACCGAAAUAUAAUGGAUCAGGUCUGGAUCUCAAGAAACCCGACCCGACCCGACCCGACCCGACCCGUUGCCAUCCCUACUAGUAAUACACACUAAAUUAGGAAAUGAUAAAAAGGGUGUAUACUACUACGCACAAAACAGUAAGGGAAUGCGAGAUAUAAUUUUCAAAAAUAUUUAUACUAAAGUAUGUUUGGACUCAAAUUAAUGACGCAAUUUGUAAUUAACUCAUAAUAAUACUCGUACUCUUGUAAAUGGUACUAUGAAAAACACAAAUGGUGACAUCUGAGAAUGGCCAUAUGCUAUACAAAUCUUGAUACAACUGAAGUCUUUGGAAAAGGAUAUUAUUGAUACUCUUAACAGUAUUUGCAAGAUUUGUCCAUAAGUUAAACAAUCUCCAAUUUCUUUCCCUUCUGGUCAUACGAGGAUCACACAAGCUUUUAUAUUUAUUCUUGUCGACAAUUAGGGUCUCUACAAACUCAUACUGACCACAUAUUUUUCCUUACAAUAGUUGAUGAUUUCACUCUAACGACUUGGGUUUUUCUUAUGAAACACAAGUUAGAAGCUACGUCAAUUUUGGAGAUUUUUGUAUACAUAUUCAUUUACACACAAUUCUGAAAAGAUAUUAUGACCCGUUUGAGAACCUGGAUUUCAUUUAGAAUUCUGGAUUUGAUCAAAUAACCUGAUUGAAAAUUUGGAUUUGGAUUUCACUUGAAAUCCAGACAUUCAAAUAUCAAUAUAAACUAAGAAUUUGAAAUACCAUACCAUACCAUUGUAUUCAGUAUAUCCCAUUUAGAGCAGGGUUUGAGGAGGGAAAAAUGUACGCAGCCCUGCCCCUACCCUUAAAGUAAAGAGGUUGUUUCCGUGAAGACCCCGGCUUAGUGCACAAUAAAUAAAAUAGUGUGUGAUAUAAUAUUAAUACCAUACCUUAGCCCAUGAUAUUCUUCACAUGGGACUUACUUAAAUAUUCUCUAUUGUUGGAGGCGAAGUCUGGUAAAGGAACGAAUGGAAAAAUCAAAACCAUCGGGAAGAAGGCUUGGAUACGUAGUUCGUAUUGUCUAUUGGCUCCCAAUUAUCAUUGUCUAUCCGCUCGAAGCCUUAAAGUAAAAAGUAAAGGACUGGGGAAGUCCAUCAAUACUCAUCGUAGACAAUUGACAUUAAGCGGGAAGAGUAGACUUCAAGUAUUGGACUUACGUGAGUUGGUCGGGUCAAGGACCUAGGGCAGUCGCUACAGAAUAGAUUUGAAACCGAGCGGGAACAUGGCGGGUAGUAGCCUUUAACUAGCGCUGGUUAGGAGGAGUACAACUAUCUAUGAUGCCAUCACAUCAUUUAAACCGUCAGAACCCAAACAUAUACGGUAUAUGUUGCAUCAUAUACGAAACCACUUCGGACACGGUGUUGAUAUUGGUGAUGAUGAGUGGGCGACAGGAGAGGGAGAGGGGGCUGAGGGAAGGAGAGCAAGCGGUUACAAUUCUCACUGUAGAUGUUUUGUAUUAUAUAAUUGUUCAUGAACUGAGAAUUUGAAACGAUAAACUCAAACCAUUUCAUUUGAAAUCCAUCAUUUCAAAUGAAAUGCACAUUUCCAAAUGUUCUCUUAAAGUUUUCAAAAGUUAUGAUGCUCUUAAAUUUUGUGAGAGUAAGAUAAUGAAAUUUUAUGCCAUGAGAGUUAUUUUUCAUCAAAAAAAUUGUGUAACAGUCAUCAAUAAAACGAACAGUUGAACGGAAGCACAAAUGAUGGUUACAUAUUUUUGCAUAUAUUUGAUUUCCUAUUAUUGUUUGUUCUCGUAUUUUCAUUAGUUAUUUGUUAUAUUUUCAGGAACUCGUUGAUAAAUAAAUAAUCAAGAAUUCAAGAGGAGAAAGAACAAAAAAGUCCAAGAAAGGCAAAAGAGGAAAGAAAGAAAGAAAAUAAAAGGAAAUCAAGAUACUAGGGAUGGGCACGGGGGCACUUCAGGGUCGGGGAGUGUGGACGCCCCCGAUCUCCGAAUUCAAUACUCAUCUCCGACUCCGUCCCGAACCUCUAACGGAGAUUUUUCUUCCUCCCCGAUACCUGUCUUGAACGGGAAACGGAGAAUUCCCUCGGGGAUUCGGGGAAUUUUAAUUUUUUUUAAAAAAAAAAUUUUAUAAUAUACAAUAUAUUUUUUAAUAAAAAAACAAACUACUAACUCAUAAUAUACUAAUAAAUUAUAUUAUCUUAUACUUUUAACAUCAAAUCAUAUUAAAAUUAAUUUAUAAUAUAAAUAAACUACAAUAUAUUACUUUAAAAUAUUAUAAUAAUCGAUCGAUAAAUAUAAAGAUAAUUUUUUAAUUUAAAUAAUAUUAUAAAAAAUACCUAUUUUUGAUAAUUUAUUUUGUAUAAUAUAUGAAUAUAUUAUUAUUUGCAUAUAUAUACACACACACACAAUCGGGGUCGGGGAUCGGGGCGGAGAGACAUAAAUCCCCAACCCACGGAUUUUUUUAUAAAACUUUCCCCGUUCCCCGCCCUGAUUCCGGAAAAUUCCCCGAACCCCUAAAGAGCAGUGUUCAAAUCGGGGUCGAGCAGAACAGGAUGAAUGCCUAUUCUUACGAGACACAAAGAACUUUCUACCCCUAAACUCAAAUCCAGGCGUAUACAAAUAUUUUUUCUCUCUCGUUAAUCAUCGACUUAGCCUUUACUUUAGUUUUUAGUAUAAAUUGAUCUAACCUCGUUUGUAGUCAUCUUUUUCAUUUCAAAUUUCUAGAUCCAGUUCAUUUUGUCUUUGCUAAAUUUUAUUUGAUGGGUUGAUUCUUGAUGUUAAAGUAGAUUUUGAAGUUGGGUCGUUGUUGAUGUGCUGUUUUGUUUCUUCCUUCCGUUUCGCGCUCUGCUUUUGCUUUUAUUUUAAUAUUUUUAUUUUAUUCAAAUAUUAAUCUUUUAUUUAGUUAACGUGCAAUAUAAUUUGUUAGAUAAAAUUUAGUUAAUAUAAUUAGAUUUUAGGUUUUAAUAAUCUAAGUUUAAUUAUUAUUUAAUAAAAUAUAUUUUAAAUUUUAAAUUAAAGUUUAGAUUAAUAAAAUACUAAUUCGACUAAAUUUUAAAUUAAAGAGUUGGCGAAAUUAAUUUAAUAUCUUGAGUACGAACUUAAAAAUAUUAAAAUGAUAUCAUGCGCUUGCGAUUAAUUUCAAAAUCUAAUUUUUGGCACAUCAAUGUAUAUUAUGAGCAGUGCAUCUCAUAAACCGAAUGCCUCUGCAAGUUCUUGAUAACUUAGUCCAUAUCAAAGCCAAGAAAUGUAUGUUUAUAAGGUAUCCUGCUAGCCAAUAGGGAUACAAAAUGCUAGACAUGGAAACUUUUCAGAUUAUUAUCUCUCGAGAUGUCAUAUUCCAUGACAACAUUUCCCAAUUCAUCAUGGAAUACAUUGUCUUCAAAGUCACCUCUUGUUUUCUUUCUUCCUACAUGUAUUGACUUCACCCCCUUUCAUAAACUAGUACUAUAAGCAAUUUCCAUCCUUGCAAAAUGCAAAGUUAGCACAAUCUAUUUUAUAAUGUCUUUGAGUUAAGCUCUCCUUCAAAUGAUUCUACAUUUGACUUCUCUCUUGAUAGCUUUCAUGAUCUGUCACCACCUACAUUGAGAGGAAGUACUUGAACUAUUAAAUUAACAUCUACUUACGAUGAUUUUGUAUGUGAAACUUUAAUUCCCAGUAACGAUUGCACACAUUGAUGUAAUUUGGUUUCAUAUUCUACCUUACCAUCAGCAUUUCGAACAACUGUGCAUCAUAGUAGUACUUUGGUGGAACCUUCUUCUUAUACAAAAGCUGUAAAGAUAGCAGAUGAUUUGAUGUCAUGGAAAAAGAGUUGCAAGCCCUUCAUGAUAAUUAACACCUGGACACUGAUUGAUUUACUAGCUGGCAAGAAGCCUAUUUGAAGUAAAUGGUUCUAUAAAAUUAGAUUAAAGGCUGAUGGCAGUGUCGAAUGUUUUAAAUCCAGAAUUGUAGCUCAAGGCUAUAAUAAAUAAUGGGGCAUUGAUUUCGAAGAGACGUUAUCUCUAAUGGUAAAAUGACUAUUGUCAGAUGUUUGCUAAUUGUUCACAUAGCACUGCCUUCUUUUCUACGUAGUUAGAUGUAAACAAUGCUUUUCUGCGCGAAGAUAUAAAUGAUGACGUAUAUAUUCAUGUUCUAGAAGGUGUUCUUAAUUCAUACAAUAGGGUCUGCAGAUUGCUUAAAGCAUUGUAUGGAUUCAGGCAGGCCUCAAGGUAGUGGUCUGCAAAGUUAUUGAGUGAGCUCAUCAAGAAAGGAUUUGUGCAGUUCAAAAUUGAUUAUUCACCUUUCAUCAAAAUGCUAUGAUUUCAGUUGUAUAUGUUGAUGACAUUAUUUUAAGAGGUAAUAAUCAUCAAGGAAUUUCUGAUCUCAAAGAUCAUUUAGAUAAUACUUUCAGCAUCAAGGACUUAGGAAAACUGGGGUUUUUUUUGGACAUUGAAGUGGUAUAUAUUCCUUCUGGUAUUACUUUGACAUAAAUGAGUUUACUCAAUAACUGAGGGAAGCAUGUAUAGAAAAUUGCAAGACCCCAGCAUAUAUAGAUGUUUUGUUAGCAAACUCAAUUUCUUAACACACAUCAGGCCUGAUUUAUCUUUUACUGUCCAAUAUCUAAACCAAUUCCUUCAGACACCAAGAUUUCCUCAUUACAAUUCACUUCUCCAUGUUUUAAAGUAAGUGUCCACUACAUCAGGGCAAGGCAUUAUACUGAAAGCUAUUGAACAGUUAAUUUACAAGCAUUUUCGUAUUCAAAUUGGGGAGCUUGUCCUUAUUCAUGGAGGUCUAUCUCACGUUAUGUCUUGUUGCUCAGAAAUUCUCUAGUAAGCUGGAAGUCAGUGAAAGAAGCAAAGCAAUGUAUCUAAAAAGCUCAUCUAAGAAGAGGAUAGAUCUAUGUCUUCAGCAGCAUCUGAGGUUACAUGGUUAGUUAAAUUACUUGCAGAAUAAGGCUUACAAAACCGAAGCCUGUCACAUUGCAUUGUGAUAAUCAAAGUGCCAUCCUAAAACCCAGUACAUCAUCAAAGAACGAAGCACAUUGAGAUUAACGUUCACUUUACAAGUAAAUACAAGUAAUCUCUUUUUCUCCUUUCAAUUUGUAAAUAAAGUUUGCAGUGUUGAUAGCUUCAUUCGAAGGUUUGUUAAUGGAGUUCAUGCUUAUUCUGCCUCUACAAAUUGUAACAUAUAUAUUAUAAUAUAUCACAAAUCCAAGAGGACACGUGUCUUUGAAAAUACAGAUAUACUAUCACCGAAGAUAAGUUUAUUACAAACAAGGAACGACAUAAGUCUAAAAGGUACAAAUAUCUUACAAAAAAAGGUAACUUAUUGCGUCAUCAUACGCCUCCUGCAUUCCACUGUUAGAUGGCUACAAUGUAUUAUUUUGUUCCUUUUAUUAGUACAUAACAUAAUCUCAUCACAAAGAUAAGCUUAGGGCACAUUUUGCAUGGUAAUUAACUAGCAUUUAGGCAAUGGAGCACCACACAAGCAAGUGUUGUUGAGAUAGGCCGUAUUGCCAAAUCUUUCUAGGUUCCCUUCUGCUGGAAUCAUGCCACAGAGCUUGUUAUUACUAACGUUAAAUGUCUGCAACUGCAGUUUGGCCAAUGCAGUAGACAGAUUUCCGCUGAUCUGGUUGUGGUUCAAAUCCAAGUAUAUUAAUGAGGGUGGAAACUGCUGCACCUUGGAAAAAUUAAAACUAAACGUGUUUCGUGAAAAAUCUGCAGUUUCUAGGCGCUUCUUAGUCCCAAAAAAGAACGAUAUGUCACCUUCUAGUGAGUUCCAAGACAGGUCAAUCCUAAUUGGAUCCGAACUAGCAAAUGUUUGUGGAACAAAGCCCGUCAGAUGGUUAUGAGAAAGAUAUAUGUCUGGGGAUCCAGAAAUGUUCCCAUAGGCAGCAGGAAUUUCACCUGUGAGAUGGUUCCGGUCUAAGUGAAGGGCGGAAAGGUUUUUAAGGGUAGAAAGCUGAGAUGGGAUGACCCCGUUAAGUUUGUUGGAGGACAAGUCUAAGUAAGUUAGGUUUGUGAGCUGUGCGAAGAAUAUGGGAACAGGGCCACUGAGAUUAGUCCAGCUGAGCCGGACGGAUUUUAGGCUAGUGAGUGCAGAAAUUUGUUCUGGGAUUGCUCCGUAAAGAUUGGGGAGUUUAUAGAACCAUAAGGUUUCAAGAUAUGGCAGGCCUCCCACCUGAGGUGGGAUUUGGCCAGUAAGAUUGUCGUCGUCUUGAAUAGUGAGGGAAACUAUGCGGUUGUUGGUUUCGCCACAUUUAACGAGGUACCAAUC